AUUGGGUUCGUAGAUGGACUGAUUCAAAAAGGCAGAGAAGGAUUCACGUACUCACAUGUCAUGGUUACGUUGCGACACUAUGAUUAAAGGAUGGUUGACGAAUGAAAUGGAGAAGGGGAUUGUUGGGUUUAAUGUUGACGUAAGACGUUAUUUUUAGUUUAGUAUUAGUUUUAUUUAGUAAUUGAAUAAAAGAUAGUAGUUCAUGGGUUGAAUGGGUCAUGUGGACCAAGUCUUUUGGAGCUUUUAGAAUGAUAGGUUUAGUGCUGGAAAAGAGGAAAACGUGUGCUUGUUUUUUGUUAGUUCAAUUAGGUUUUGUAGGCUAUAAAAAGCCUUUAGUUUUUUGAAUAUUAAAGCAGCCGUUUUGAGUCGAUAAACAACUCUCCUUCUUCUUAUUAUGUUGCUACAAUGAAGUGAAUAUAAAGGGCCUGAUUUCCAACAAUUGGUAUCAGAGCCUAGGACUCGUUUAGAAGAAUCAGGUUUGAGAGUCGGUAGCGAGAGAGGAGGAGCAGCCCUUGGCUGCAGGGCUGAGAAUGAAAGAAGAUGAUGGUUGUAGGGGCUGAACCAAUAUAUUGAUGUUGCAGUCAAGACCGCCACAAUGAAGAAAGAAAGAAAGAAAGAAAGAAAGAAGAAAGAAAGAAGAUUGUGACAUGCAACCUGUUGGAUGUUGCUUUCUGCAGAAAGAAAGAAACACAAAAAGAGGAUCAAAUGAGGGUGGUUCUCGGCUGUGGUGUAUUCUGGUUUUUGCUGUGGUUUUAAUGGCUCGCAAUGGUGUUGACAGAUGAAAGUCCGGUUGUGGUUGUUCGAUCCCAGAGAUAGCAAAAAUGGCUAUUAAGGAAGAAAGCAAGAAACAAGAUGAAGUAAGCAGAAAGGUUCUUAGCAAGAGAAGACCAAGAGAGCAACAAAGAAAGCAAGAAAACAAGAAGGAGCCUAAGUAUGUUCUAUGUUAGAAAUCAAGAAGCAAGAAAAGAAAGUAGUAUGUAUCAUGUAUCAAGUAGCAGACAAGAAAGAAAGCAAGAAAGAAAGAUAAGCAGCAAGGUAGAUCAUGUUUGUUAAUCAGAAGAAAGAUGCAACAAGUUUGUUGUUUGUUAGCAGGUAAGAAAGAAGAAGCAAGCAGCAAGUGAUUAACAAGCAGGAGAAGGCCCGUUGCUAGAAAGAUUAUAGCAAGAGAAGCAAAUAUCAAGAUUGUCAAGAUUAAGGGGGUGAAUGUUGGGUUUAAUCUUGACAUAAGAUGUUAUUUUUAGUUUAGUAUUAGUUUUAUUUAGUAAUUGAAUAAAAGAUAGUAGUUCAUGGGUUGAAUGGGUCAUGUGGACCAAGUCUUUUGAGCUUUUAGAAUGAUAGGUUUAGUGCUGGAAAAGAGGAAAACGUGUGCUUGUUUUUUGUUAGUUCAAUUAGGUUUUGUAGGCUAUAAAAAGCCUUUAGUUUUCUGAAUAUUAAAGCAGCCGUUUUUAGUCGAUAAACAACUCUCCUUCUUCUUAUUAUGUUGCUGCAGUGAAGUGAAUAUAAAGGGCAUGAUUUCCAACAGGGAUCAUAAGUAGCGUGAAAUAUGCUAACACGACUGCUAAGAUAUGGUCAGAUCUGAAGGAACGGUUUGGAAAAGAAAGCGCCCCUCGGGUGUAUGAAUUAAAGCAAACACUCUCAGCAACCAUUCAAGGUAACACUUUCGUCUCGCCCUAUUUCACCAAACUCAGAAGCAUCUGGGAUGAGAUGCAAUCUACACUUCCUAUUCCUCGUUGUAACUGUAAUUGGUGUUCCUGUGAUGUGGGAAAGAAGUUGGUUGAACACAGAGAAAAAGAAAGACUUUAUGAGUUUCUCAUGGGUUUGAAUAGUGAGUUUUCAGUCAUCAGAACACAAAUUCUUGCAAUGAACCCAACACGCACAUUAGGCAAUGCCUAUCAUCUUGUUGCUGAAAACGAAAAACAAAGGUCCAUAACAGCCGAUAAGCGAGAUUCCGCUGAUGCUGUUGUGUUCGAGGUGUUUGUCCCGGGGCAUCGGAAAAACGGCUCUAGUCAACGACGUGAUAAACCCCUUCCAAGGAUGUGGAGCCUAGAAAUGUCGUUGAGCACUACACCUUGUGUGGGAAAGACGGACACGCUCGAGAUGGGUAUUUCAAGUGGAUAGGAUACCACGAGUGGUGGUCAGGAAACCAGAAGCGUGAGGAAACAAAAUCCAAGGUCACACGUGUUAAGACAGCUCCAGGUCCUAUUGCAGGUUUGACAAGUGAGCAAUAUGAAACAUUUCUAAAGCACUUUUCAAAUAUGAAAAACACCAACAAAGGAAGUACUACACCCAUGGCACGUAUGACAGAAACUCCACUCGAAGCUUGGUUGGUAUUGGGGAAUGCAAAAGGAGUUUGUAGCGGAUGGGGUUGUUCGAAGACGGAAGAAGGGAAAUGAUGACGUCCAGAGAUACCUGGCAUAAAAGAUUAGGUCAUUCGUCUAAUGAAAAGCUAGCUUUCAUUAGUUUUCCUAAUAAAGUUUCUUUCAGUAAAUCUUGUGAUUUUUGCUAAAAAGGCAAAACACACUAGACUUCCUUUUUCGAACAGUGAUAUUAAAACAAACGAUUGCUUUGAAUUAUUGCAUUGUGA